rnacentral:rRNA from 1 species
GUAACCUGCCUCAAAGUGGGGGAUAGCCUUCCGAAAGGAAGAUUAAUACCGCAUAAAGCCAAGUUUCACAUGGAAUUUGGAUGAAAGGAGUAAUUCGCUUUGAGAUGGACCCGCGGCGCAUUAGUUAGUUGGUGGGGUAAUGGCCUACCAAGACAGCGAUGCGUAGCCGACCUGAGAGGGUGAUCGGCCACAUUGGAACUGAGAUACGGUCCAGACUCCUACGGGAGGCAGCAGUGGGGAAUAUUGCACAAUGGGCGAAAGCCUGAUGCAGCAACGCCGCGUGAGUGAUGAAGGUCUUCGGAUUGUAAAGCUCUGUCUUUUGGGACGAUAAUGACGGUACCAAAGAGGAAGCCACGGCUAACUACGUGCCAGCAGCCGCGGUAAUACGUAGGUGGCGAGCGUUGUCCGGAUUUACUGGGCGUAAAGGGUGCGUAGGCGGAUGUUUAAGUGAGAUGUGAAAUACCCGGGCUUAACUUGGGUGCUGCAUUUCAAACUGGAUAUCUAGAGUGCAGGAGAGGAGAAUGGAAUUCCUAGUGUAGCGGUGAAAUGCGUAGAGAUUAGGAAGAACACCAGUGGCGAAGGCGAUUCUCUGGACUGUAACUGACGCUGAGGCACGAAAGCGUGGGUAGCAAACAGGAUUAGAUACCCUGGUAGUCCACGCCGUAAACGAUGAGUACUAGGUGUAGGAGGUAUCGACCCCUUCUGUGCCGCAGUAAACACAUUAAGUACUCCGCCUGGGAAGUACGAUCGCAAGAUUAAAACUCAA